rnacentral:tRNA from 1 species
GCGGGGAUAGCUCAGUUGGGAGAGCGUCAGACUGAAGUUCUGAAGGUCGCGUGUUCGAUUCACGCUCACCGCA